rnacentral:miRNA from 10 species
AGUGACCAGAAGACAAGUGUGAGCCUUCUGUUGUGCCCGGACAGGGCCACCAGAGGGCUCCUUGGUCUAGUGGUAACGCCA